UGUUUACUCUUGUCAUAAAUUUGACUUUGUUUGCUCUUGUCAUAAAUUUUACUUAUAUUUAAUUAAUUUUCACUUCAUUAAGCCUUGCUGGAGUAUAAAAUAAAAUAUGAAAUGCACCUAUGUUUGCAGGUUUUCAGAGAAGAGACAGAGUUCCUUUCCAGCUUCAGCUGUCUUUUAAAACUCGAGAUUUAAAAAAGUCACCAGAGUCAUCACUCAGCAGAAGCGUGUGACCACUAGCAGCUGGGUGUGGGCAGGGAGCCUGAACAUGGCUGUUUUGGGUGUUCACUGUGCCCAGCUAUGUGCCCGCCUCACCAUGGAGGGCAGGAUCCAGGAAGCUCAAAGUCAACUCAAAGCCCAGCAGGACCUCCUCAGAGACAUCAGUGAACAGAAGCCAAGUCCUAAAGAAGAGAGUAUCUAUGGAAAUUGGAUCAGUACCAUGAGUAUGAUCUGUGAAGACCUGAACCCUGAUACAAAGGUCAGAACAAAGUUCUUCUCAAACAGUUAAACAUAUUUAUAUUUUAUAAGUACAAAGAUUUUUAUUGUUGUUCCUCUCUAUAGCUUGUAUGCACUUGGAUGAAAUGUUGUUUAUCCAGGACUUUAGUGCAAUAUAUAACUGUACAUUUACAUUUACAGCAUUUGGCAGAUGCCCUUAUCCAGAGCAACGUACAAAAGUGCCUUUAAGUCUCCAUCAUUAAAUACAUUAACUCUGGUUCAUUAGGUUACAGACUUAAGA